ensembl:lncRNA
AGCCGCAGAGAGAAGAAGCUGCCCAAGAAUGGAAAGGAAGAAAUAUAUCACAUCAUCUGUCUGUCCACAGGCUUUCCUUUGGGCUUAUGGAGGUAUGCAGCUGAUAUGGAGAAUAUGCCAAGUCACCUGGAUGAGUCAGCACAGGCAACACAAAGGACUGCAGUUAAAAGCUAGGGCUAGGACUUGGAGGAUGUGUAGGCAAACGGAAGGAGAGCCGGGGAAGAAAAACCGAAAUGGAUUCAUUCUCUGUCCUGGAUGGAGGAGGAGAGGAGAAGCGGACGUGCAAGCUUCCUUCAGCUGCCUCUGUCCGGUGGAAAGUGCUCAGACCCCCGGGGCUGCGCCGGGCUGAGGCUCCGCACGGACUUUCGCUCCAAGCUGCCAAUCAAGGCUCUCGCUAGCCACCACCCUGCUCUGGCACCGACACGAUCUGCAGGAUCUCCCCCUGUGAGAUGCAACUCAGCAGCUCUGUCCCCUCUGCCAUCUCAGCGCUGCCAGUGGAGAAGCCCAGGAGGAGCACAGAGCAGUGGCUGAGCAGCAAUCUGAAUAUUCGUAUUUAACUCUUCAAACAACAGAAGAUACUUCAAAACCAAGUUCUCACAUACUGACAAGGUGCUGCAAACACCCUGUGACAAAGAUCAGAGGGAAAUACUUAUUUGAAGAAAUCUUUGCCAUUAGCUGUAUUGUAAGUUUUAGAAAAGGUUCAAUUUUAUAAAGAGCAAACUGUUGACCAAUUGUUCCUCUACAAGCCCUUAUGGUAUCUGUAGCUGCAUAGUUAAUCUACUACUCACCUCUACUCAGGUAUCCAACAGAAGUCGGUGCUGGGUAAAACAUGUCUCCGCAGAUCAGUUAUACCUAUUUUUAACUUUUAUUUGCUAAAAUGUGAUUGUUUACCAUAGCUUGCAUCCAGACAAAUGUAUUUCAACAUGCACACUUUUAAGGCUUCACAACAGGAAAAUGCAUCCGCUCCAUGGGAGCACACACACACACAAACACGUGUUCGUGUGUUCACCUCCCACAUGUAGAUGUGCUCCAGACACUGCUGGGGCUGGGUGGGAGGAAUGGGUGCACACAGCUCCCAUCGCAUCUGACAGUUCACUGUGGAGGGAGGUGGCUACAGCGAACUGUCUCUUCUCUGCAAGAACAGAGGUUUGCAGUUAUCAGAUGCUGGAAAGCCUGCAACACCUCAGACAGAGUGACAUAAACACAUUCCGGUAUUUCAUUGUGUCUGUACACGUGGCGUGCAGCCCCUCUAGCCUCCCUGCACCAGGCGCAGUCUUGUGCAGUAUUCCCUGAGUAUACAUGAAGCGGCCACCUCUGGAUACCAAGAGCUUGCUGUGAUUAAUCUGUCGGCUUUCAAACUUGUCUGAAGACAAUGCUGUGGCAGCCAGUAACACGUUUGCAUUUCAGUUCAGCUCCGGGAAACUAGGUACUUACUAGAGUGUUUCAAAGUAGUGUGGACAAAUCGCAGACCCUUGGUCCUUAGCUAGGCCAGGCACAGAUAACAUAUCAAAACAAUGCUUCACGAAAGCAAGGAAGUUCAGUUCUUUCUUCACUGACUGGAGAAAACUUGAAAGCUAUGGAGAGGCACCAAAACCAGGCUGCAGAACCAGGCUUUGAGGGCAUGCAAACUGUUGAAGACUUACUGUCACUGAUACUCCAAUGCUCUCUACCUUGCUUCCACCUAGGGCAAUGCUGUCCAGAGACUGAUCACUGUCCCACCAGGGCUAUUAGUGAAUGGUAUUUCCUUCAUGAGUCACUGUACCCUCACAUUUGUAGCUCAUCCUCCAGCACCUGGCAGAACACUCAGGGCCAGGUACACCGCAAGAACCCAGUGUAUUUAUGUACAGUGUAACUAAGAAAUGGAUAGACCAAGAAAAGGUUAUAUCAAUAACUGUGUAAAGAUGGUUAGGGUGUGUGUUUUGGCAUGGAGAGCAGAUACUGAAACAUUUAUCCCACACCUACCACAACAAGGUCGUGGUCGUUGACUUGAGUGACAGGGGAGUGGGGGACUGGGAUGUCUCAGCCCAAACUCCUUUAAGCCUUGGCUUGAUGGGUGAGAUCUUGAACAUAGCCAGAGCCUGUGACAUUAAAGGAUUUAUAAAAGCAACAGUGCCAUUUUAAAGUCAACCUCCCACCUUACCAGCAGCCCCAGCAGGUGUAACGUGAUCCAGGCAGCCCAAGCCAGCAAGUAAACAAACUCCUGCUUUCUGAACAAGGUGCACCAGAGAAACACUCCUAACUGGGAAUUGCGCUAAGUGAGCUGUGCUGCUAUUGAAAGAUCUGUGAAAAUGGACAGGCUCCUAUGACUGUCAAUUCUUAUUCCACACAGGUAUUCCACAGAUAUAUAUACACCCAAAAUGAGGUAGGAGAAAAAUUUCCCUAAUAAGCCUGUAAAGUUUAGUAGGAUUUGGUCUGAUCUAGUUUCUUGAAUUUCAGUGGGGCCUGGGUUUCCUUAAGCCAGAGAAAACAAUCCUAUCGCUUUGAUUCGAACCCAGUCAGCAGUAUUUAAUAUUGUCCCCAAGGGAGCUGCUUCCCUGCUCUUCAGUUGGUUACCCAGUCCACCUCCAGUCAGUAAUAGACUUACGGGCUUUUUACUUGGCUACAACAUAAGUCACUUUUUCCUCCUUCAGUGCCGACACUGAAGCUUUCUGGCUAUGUGAAUUCAACCUCUGUAGACAGCCUCCGACUUUCUCUGGCUAUUCCUUUAGAUCCAGCUGAAGUGAGGUUGAAUGCGCCAUUUAGAUCAUCUUGGUGUUACUGCCUGGCUCCCUACCUGGGAGAAGUGCACAGAAGUGAAAAAGAUGCAUCUGCCCAAGUAGAGUCUGGACCUUGACAAAUAUUAUGGGCUUGGCAGGCUCCAAGACUUACUGCAGAGUCUUUGGAGUGUGCAGACUGUGGGCACACUACACUGAGGUACCAGCAGUCCAGCUCUGCUCCAGUGUUUCUGCCUCCCAGCCUGGGUCCCAUCCUGCCCCAGAAAGCCUCUCCCCCUCCCCAUGCCCACGCUCCAGUUACUCAUGAGUUAUGAUAACAUAUAAGCAGCUUGGAGAAUUCUUAUCAGAAUAAGUUGAACACAAUACAACAUCUAACUCUUAAUGACAGCCACCUCUGACUGUGAUAUGUUAUAAAUUAUGUUUGACUGGCUUUUUUUUUUUCAGAGACACAUACUCCCGCUGCCACCCAGUCAGUCCUGUAACGUUGCACUUGUGGCCUUAAUCCCACUUGGAUGUGCGCCCUGCUGCCUCCACUUUCCGUCACUUGGGUACUUUAGUAUUCUUGAAAAAGUGAACAAUCUUUGUUUCUGUACCUUAUUAGGCCAAAGACCAUAGCAGCUAGUGAUGGCAUCAGCAGGCCCUGCAGGCAGGAUUCUCUGCAGACACAGCCAACCUCCAACAAACCCCUUUUUAUCCUCCUGUUUCUAGGAAGAAUUAUGAUGGUGGUGCCCUGCUGUUGAUCAGUCAAAUCUGUGGUAGGCCUAGAGAUAAGUCCUGUAAGUGUGGUGUACUGUAAAACAGCGGCUCCCAUUCAUUAGUAGCUUGUGUGUAAUAAACCACCCAAAGGAGGGGGGUGGGGAGGGAGAGGGACGAGCAGCUGCAGUAUGCAGGAACAAACAACACAACUCAUUCUUGGGAGCCAAAACUUUUUAAUUUGCUGCUGGGCUGCUGGGAGCACUCAAAUUCUUUCUGAUAAUACGCUCGUGCCCUCAGUGUCUCUCCCUGCGUUUCCCAAGUCCUGGUCUCUUGAGGUCCCCGAGCCUUGGAGAGUUUCACUUUGAACCCAAAACACAGAGGGUAGUUAAAUGGGGAGGAGGGGAACACAUUGGCUGACCAAUGUUUGCAGACUCCAGUAUAAGAAAGCAGUGGACUCAGAGAAAAGUCAUUCUGCUGGGGAAUGGCUGUUGCACAUAUCUGCUUGUGCAGUGAGUAAACAAAGCAUCACAUGGGCUGCAGAGCAAGCAUGAGAUGUGGAGCAAACCCAUGUAUAAGUGAGGCAUGCAGGAGGAACAGAAUAUCGCAAACGUUGUUACUGGUGGAAUAUUUAGAAACUUGUAUCUCCUAAGAGGCAAAAAUCCCCAAAUAAAUCUCAAAUCAGUAAUACCUGAAAAAUUAUUUGGCUUAAUUUCUACCUUUCCCCCGCCCCCCAAGUUCCUUUAAAUAUUUGUGUGAGCAUAAUAUUUCCCCACUGAAACUGUGAAUUUAAAUGGAAUCUGCUAAGUGUGAUGUAAGAUGUUGCAUCCGUUGAGAUGUCAGUAGUUCCUAAUAUUUGCAUAGAUGUGAGAAAGUUGGUGCUUUAAGAUGUCAGCCUUAGACCCUCCAACUGCCUGUAGAACGUUUUGGACCAGGAACUGAAAUUAUUGCAUGUUGAACAACUGCUCUCACAGACCAGACCUUUGUGCUAACAUUUGUAUGGUCACAGGUCAGAUAGAUGCUGCUCUGGAGGACCGCUGUACCCUUGCAGGAGAUGACAGUGGUCAUUUCACAGUGAUGUGCCAGGCUGUGUCGGUGCUUGGACUAGCUCCUAACAUUUGUAUAGACAAGGGCUACUUUAAUGGCAAAUUCAGGCUUGGGCCAAACAGCAAGUACUCUCUAUGUAGACAAGGCAAAAUUGCAGAUUUGAAGUUUUCUACUUUUCCUGCAAGAGAUCCAUCUUUGUCCUCUCUGGGAGGGGCUGUGCUGUGAGUUGCCUGAGUCUUAAGUUCUGAAAUGAGAGUUGCCAGACUGCUGCUUGGUGAAGUUACCCAAUAGGUUGAGGUAAAAACGUCCCAAAGAGCCCCUGCAUGCAUCCACAAAAUGGUGUUAACUAAACCCGAGCACAAAAUAGCCUUAUAUUCUGAAAGUUUAAGCACUGUGGUUUAGGUAGCCUGCCACUCUGAGUUCCAAUUGUGGCAUUUUGGCAUUUUUUGACAAAGUCACAGUAAUUUGGACUUAGGUAGGUAGGUAGGUAUUAUACAUACCUUUAAAAUAAAAAUUUAUAAUAAAAAAAAUGGACAGUGCCCGUUUCCAGCAUGGAGCCUGAUUUCACUGUGCUGUUUCCAGGAUUUCCAGCUAGAAUCGCAAUGAGGGGGGUUUUAUGGGACUUUUCAAAGAAAACUGCAAAGGUAACACCUCUGGUAAUUGCUGCAUGUCUUCACUGUAUUAGUAGAUGGGUUUGUAGAAGAGAACUAUCAAAUGGAAAACUCAGGACUGGGCAGACAGACCUGCUCCACUGACAGUAGGCAGCACACAACAGUCACCUGUCUGUGAACAUGUUGUCAGCAGAAGGUUUGAAGUUAUGGAUGAGACCAGCAAAUUGAGUGAAUGUUUUGGGUAGGUAUGAAAACAGGAGAGGGAUUUUUUUCUGAGGGUUUGAGCCCCAUCUCUGGCAUAAGCAAAGCCAUGUAAUCCUUUCCUUUGCAAUUAGAGCUGCAAAUCAACCCCUGGGCGAGAGCACUCACGCAAGGAGCAAUUAGACAAGCUAUACAGUGGAAAAAGCUAAAAAUAGUAAAUAGUAUGUCUCCACAAAAAACCUUGAAUCAUUAGAAAAGGACGUUUUAUGAAUUUCCUGGGAAUCAGUUGCUGCUUUUAUAUUUUCACAGUGUUCUGCCAGAAGGGCUAUAUUCUGACUGUUGUUUGACAGAGGCAAACAUGAGUAACCCUACUCUCUUCUUACACUUGAGACACUGAAAAAAGCUGAAAGAUAAUUGAAGAGGAAAAAAACCCUGUAUAAAAUUGAACAGCAAACUCUGUGUACAUCUGUGUGCACAUACAAGUGCACACGCAUGUACUGCUGCUGGCGUGCUUGUUUUCAAGUGGAGAUUUCAGUGAUGGUCGAUUUAACAUAAACUUGAAGUGUACAACAGACUGUUUUGUGUGGCCUGCUGCUUAUUUCAUGAGCUGUUCUUUCCCAUUUCAAGCAAGCGUAAUGUGCUGCAGCGCUGUCAGCACCCCACCAGUCUCGUGAUUGGGAUGCGAUACUGAAAUUCCAGGAGGUCUUUUCCCACUGAUGACUUGGAGCAGAAGCGACUUUGGUGGCAAAGGGGCUGCACUGGGGCCAGCCAGGCUCUUGAGGUGGUCCAUGGCAGUGGGAAACAUCAGUGGCCCUGGAGUUCCUGCAGGUGUUGAACAUCCAAAGGUCUCCGGCAAUGUUGCAUCCACACAUGUCAUGUGCAUCCAGCUGCAUGAGCGCAGUGUGUGUUUGUUCGUCUGGCUGCCAGACACACGGUGACUGGGGCUGGGGAGGGCAGCUCUGGGGCUGCUCUGGGUGCUGGAGCUGCUGAGAUCCCCCCCAUCCCUAUGGCUCUGCACAGUCCCCUGAGCUGUGUGAAGCUACACAAAGUUUCCUCUAAUCAUGAAUUUAAUAUGCUUUCAGACUUGACAAUCUCCUUUUAAAUGAAAACAUUUAUGUGGAGCAAAAGGCAUGUUAGCCUCUCCAAAUAAAUGGAAUUAUGGUUCCAAGAUCUGACUUAAUCCUGAAGCUCUUACACUGUACAGUAAGUAGAAAAGAAAGAGGAUUGCUUAUUGGAGGAUGGGUUAGCAGGAUCAGGCUCCAUUUUAUAUCAUUUCACUCAUUUUCCUUCUGGUAUUUAAUCUACCUUUUUCAGAACUCCCACUGGCUGUUCAUAACAAAGUCAAAGUAACUUCACAGCUAUUACCUAUUGGCAAACACUAAUAAUUGAGAAUAAUGAGGGGUGGUACAGAGAGUGCCCACCCAGCUUUCCUUCUAGGAAAAUGUGAGGAUUGUUAAACAAACCAAAAAUGCCAUUCUUCCAGAUGUAUUUUCAUCAUAAAGUCAUGUCCUUUAAAAAUCGAUUUCAAGAUGUUUCUCAAAUGCAUUGUAACUAUUUAUUCUUUUUCUAACUGUUUUCUUUGUGAAACUGUAUUUUAAAUCUGCAUUUAUGUUUCAAACAAUCUGAGGGAAGAUGUUCAUGAAGUAAUGGUGCUGUUUGUAUUUGUUCUGUUUCUCAAAAUAGAAUUUCUGAUCAGAUAACAUU